AUCCAGUUGACGAGUCCCAAAUAGGACGAAACGUACAUUCUGGAU
rfam:Schistosoma mattheei strain Denwood, Zambia genome assembly, scaffold: SMTD_scaffold0014977